rnacentral:rRNA from 1 species
UUAAGCGACUAAGCGUACACGGUGGAUGCCCUGGCAGUCAGAGGCGAUGAAGGACGUGCUAAUCUGCGAUAAGCGUCGGUGAGGUGAUAUGAACCGUUAUAACCGGCGAUUUCCGAAUGGGGAAACCCAGUGUGUUUCGACACACUAUCAUUAACUGAAUCCAUAGGUUAAUGAGGCGAACCGGGGGAACUGAAACAUCUAAGUACCCCGAGGAAAAGAAAUCAACCGAGAUUCCCCCAGUAGCGGCGAGCGAACGGGGAGGAGCCCAGAGCCUGAAUCAGUGUGUGUGUUAGUGGAAGCGUCUGGAAAGGCGCGCGAUACAGGGUGACAGCCCCGUACACAAAAAUGCACAUAUUGUGAGCUCGAUGAGUAGGGCGGGACACGUGGUAUCCUGUCUGAAUAUGGGGGGACCAUCCUCCAAGGCUAAAUACUCCUGACUGACCGAUAGUGAACCAGUACCGUGAGGGAAAGGCGAAAAGAACCCCGGCGAGGGGAGUGAAAAAGAACCUGAAACCGUGUACGUACAAGCAGUGGGAGCCUCUUAAUGGGGUGACUGCGUACCUUUUGUAUAAUGGGUCAGCGACUUAUAUUCUGUAGCAAGGUUAACCGAAUAGGGGAGCCGAAGGGAAACCGAGUCUUAACUGGGCGUUAAGUUGCAGGGUAUAGACCCGAAACCCGGUGAUCUAGCCAUGGGCAGGUUGAAGGUUGGGUAACACUAACUGGAGGACCGAACCGACUAAUGUUGAAAAAUUAGCGGAUGACUUGUGGCUGGGGGUGAAAGGCCAAUCAAACCGGGAGAUAGCUGGUUCUCCCCGAAAGCUAUUUAGGUAGCGCCUCGUGAAUUCAUCUCCGGGGGUAGAGCACUGUUUCGGCAAGGGGGUCAUCCCGACUUACCAACCCGAUGCAAACUGCGAAUACCGGAGAAUGUUAUCACGGGAGACACACGGCGGGUGCUAACGUCCGUCGUGAAGAGGGAAACAACCCAGACCGCCAGCUAAGGUCCCAAAGUCAUGGUUAAGUGGGAAACGAUGUGGGAAGGCCCAGACAGCCAGGAUGUUGGCUUAGAAGCAGCCAUCAUUUAAAGAAAGCGUAAUAGCUCACUGGUCGAGUCGGCCUGCGCGGAAGAUGUAACGGGGCUAAACCAUGCACCGAAGCUGCGGCAGCGACACUAUGUGUUGUUGGGUAGGGGAGCGUUCUGUAAGCCUGUGAAGGUGUACUGUGAGGUAUGCUGGAGGUAUCAGAAGUGCGAAUGCUGACAUAAGUAACGAUAAAGCGGGUGAAAAGCCCGCUCGCCGGAAGACCAAGGGUUUCUGUCCAACGUUAAUCGGGGCAGGGUGAGUCGACCCCUAAGGCGAGGCCGAAAGGCGUAGUCGAUGGGAAACAGGUUAAUAUUCCUGUACUUGGUGUUACUGCGAAGGGGGGACGGAGAAGGCUAUGUUGGCCGGGCGACGGUUGUCCCGGUUUAAGCGUGUAGGCUGGUUUUCCAGGCAAAUCCGGAAAAUCAAGGCUGAGGCGUGAUGACGAGGCACUACGGUGCUGAAGCGACAAAUGCCCUGCUUCCAGGAAAAGCCUCUAAGCAUCAGGUAACAUCAAAUCGUACCCCAAACCGACACAGGUGGUCAGGUAGAGAAUACCAAGGCGCUUGAGAGAACUCGGGUGAAGGAACUAGGCAAAAUGGUGCCGUAACUUCGGGAGAAGGCACGCUGAUAUGUAGGUGAAGCGACUUGCUCGUGGAGCUGAAAUCAGUCGAAGAUACCAGCUGGCUGCAACUGUUUAUUAAAAACACAGCACUGUGCAAACACGAAAGUGGACGUAUACGGUGUGACGCCUGCCCGGUGCCGGAAGGUUAAUUGAUGGGGUUAGCGGUAACGCGAAGCUCUUGAUCGAAGCCCCGGUAAACGGCGGCCGUAACUAUAACGGUCCUAAGGUAGCGAAAUUCCUUGUCGGGUAAGUUCCGACCUGCACGAAUGGCGUAAUGAUGGCCAGGCUGUCUCCACCCGAGACUCAGUGAAAUUGAACUCGCUGUGAAGAUGCAGUGUACCCGCGGCAAGACGGAAAGACCCCGUGAACCUUUACUAUAGCUUGACACUGAACAUUGAGCCUUGAUGUGUAGGAUAGGUGGGAGGCUUUGAAGUGUGGACGCCAGUCUGCAUGGAGCCGACCUUGAAAUACCACCCUUUAAUGUUUGAUGUUCUAACGUGGGCCCCUUACCGGGGUUGCGGACAGUGUCUGGUGGGUAGUUUGACUGGGGCGGUCUCCUCCUAAAGAGUAACGGAGGAGCACGAAGGUUGGCUAAUCCUGGUCGGACAUCAGGAGGUUAGUGCAAUGGCAUAAGCCAGCUUGACUGCGAGCGUGACGGCGCGAGCAGGUGCGAAAGCAGGUCAUAGUGAUCCGGUGGUUCUGAAUGGAAGGGCCAUCGCUCAACGGAUAAAAGGUACUCCGGGGAUAACAGGCUGAUACCGCCCAAGAGUUCAUAUCGACGGCGGUGUUUGGCACCUCGAUGUCGGCUCAUCACAUCCUGGGGCUGAAGUAGGUCCCAAGGGUAUGGCUGUUCGCCAUUUAAAGUGGUACGCGAGCUGGGUUUAGAACGUCGUGAGACAGUUCGGUCCCUAUCUGCCGUGGGCGCUGGAGAACUGAGGGGGGCUGCUCCUAGUACGAGAGGACCGGAGUGGACGCAUCACUGGUGUUCGGGUUGUCAUGCCAAUGGCACUGCCCGGUAGCUAAAUGCGGAAGAGAUAAGUGCUGAAAGCAUCUAAGCACGAAACUUGCCCCGAGAUGAGUUCUCCCUGACUCCUUGAGAGUCCUGAAGGAACGUUGAAGACGACGACGUUGAUAGGCCGGGUGUGUAAGCGCAGCGAUGCGUUGAGCUAACCGGUACUAAUGAACCGUGAGGCUUAACCUU